AACGAACGCUGGCGGCAGGACUAACACAUGCAAGUCGAGCGGACCCUUCGGGGUUAGCGGCGGACGGGUGAGUAACGCGUGGGAAUAUGCCCUUCUCUACGGAAUAGUCCUGGGAAACUGGGGGUAAUACCGUAUACGCCCUUUGGGGGAAAGAUUUAUCGGGGAAGGAUUAGCCCGCGUUGGAUUAGGUAGUUGGUGGGGUAAUGGCCUACCAAGCCGACGAUCCAUAGCUGGUUUGAGAGGAUGAUCAGCCACACUGGGACUGAGACACGGCCCAGACUCCUACGGAAGGCAGCAGUGGGGAAUCUUAGACGAUGGAGGCAACCCUGAUCUAGCCAUGCCGCGUGAGUGAUGAAGGCCUUAGGGUUGUAAAGCUCUUUCAGCUGGGAAGAUAAUGACGGUACCAGCAGAAGAAGCCCCGGCUAACUCCGUG
rnacentral:rRNA from 1 species